rnacentral:rRNA from 1 species
UGGGGAAUAUUGGGCAAUGGGCGAAAGCCUGACCCAGCAACGCCGCGUGAGUGAAGAAGGCUUUCGGGUUGUAAAGCUCUGUUGUUGAGGACGAAGGAAGUGACGGUACUCAACAAGGAAGCCCCGGCUAACUACGUGCCAGCAGCCGCGGUAAUACGUAGGGGGCGAGCGUUGUCCGGAAUGACUGGGCGUAAAGGGCGUGUAGGCGGCCGAUUAAGUGUGGAGUGAAAGUCCACUUUUGCAAGGGUGGAAUUGCUUUGCAGACUGGUUGGCUUGAGUGCGGAAGAGGUAAGUGGAAUUCCCAGUGUAGCGGUGAAAUGCGUAGAGAUUGGGAGGAACACCAGUGGCGAAGGCGACUUACUGGGCCGUAACUGACGCUGAGGCGCGAAAGCGUGGGGAGCGAACAGGAUUAGAUACC